rnacentral:rRNA from 1 species
UACGUAGGUGGCAAGCGUUGUCCGGAAUUAUUGGGCGUAAAGCGCGCGCAGGUGGUUUCUUAAGUCUGAUGUGAAAGCCCACGGCUCAACCGUGGAGGGUCAUUGGAAACUGGGGAACUUGAGUGCAGGAGAGAAGAGUGGAAUUCCACGUGUAGCGGUGAAAUGCGUAGAGAUGUGGAGGAACACCAGUGGCGAAGGCGACUCUUUGGACCACAACUGACGCUGAGGCGCGAAAGCUAGGGGAGCAAACAGG